GGACUGAGUAAUUCUUAUUUUUUGUACACAUGUGAAAUUGGAAUUUGUUAGAGAAGCAACACCAAAAUCCAACAUAAACCCUGUGGUAGUCUAAUCUUCUGACUCGCAACAGCCUUUCCUGCACUACCCAUUCCUAGCACAUGAUUCUCCUGAAAACUACCAUCUACACUUGCCAAGUUGCUCUGAAAGACUCCAGGAACCUUUCUCAAGCCCACAGUAGGGAAGACAUCUGCCUUGCUCCUUCUUUCAUCUACUACUUCUGCAGAUCUUUUGCUCCAGGUAAGCUAACAACCUGUGCAUCAGAUUAUCCUAUUUGGUAUUAAUUGCCCCAGCUCAUUGUCUAAUAAAUU
rnacentral:lncRNA from 1 species